GGAGGAUCCAAGCGUUAUCCGGAUUUAUUGGGUUUAAAGGGUGCGUAGGCGGCAGAUUAAGUUAGAGGUGAAAUUCCGAGGCUCAACCUUGGCACUGCCUCUGAUACUGGUUUGCUAGCGAGUAGAUGCUGUAGGCGGAAUGUGUGGUGUAGCGGUGAAAUGCAUAGAGAUCACACAGAACACCGAUUGCGAAGGCAGCUUACAAAUCUAUAUCGGACGCUGAGGCACGAAAGCGUGGGGAGCAAACAGGAUUAGAUACCCUGGUAGUCCACGCAGUAAACGAUGAUAACUCGUUGUCGGCGAUGUACAGUCGGUGACCAAGCGAAAGCGAUAAGUUAUCCACCUGGGGAGU
rnacentral:rRNA from 1 species